GUGGGGAAUAUUGGACAAUGGGGGGAACCCUGAUCCAGCCAUGCCGCGUGUGUGAAGAAGGCCUUUUGGUUGUAAAGCACUUUAAGCGAGGAGGAGGCUACCGAGAUUAAUACUCUUGGAUAGUGGACGUUACUCGCAGAAUAAGCACCGGCUAACUCUGUGCCAGCAGCCGCGGUAAUACAGAGGGUGCAAGCGUUAAUCGGAUUUACUGGGCGUACAGCGCGCGUAGGUGGCCAAUUAAGUCAAAUGUGAAAUCCCCGAGCUUAACUUGGGAAUUGCAUUCGAUACUGGUUGGCUAGAGUAUGGGAGAGGAUGGUAGAAUUCCAGGUGUAGCGGUGAAAUGCGUAGAGAUCUGGAGGAAUACCGAUGGCGAAGGCAGCCAUCUGGCCUAAUACUGACACUGAGGUGCGAAAGCAUGGGGAGCAAACAGGAUUAGAUACCCCUGUAGUCC
rnacentral:rRNA from 1 species